rnacentral:rRNA from 1 species
UAUCGCCUACGGGACGCAGCAGUGGGGAAUAUUGCACAAUGGGCGAAAGCCUGAUGCAGCAACGCCGCGUGAAGGAAGAAGGCUUUCGGGUUGUAAACUUCUUUUAUCAGGGACGAAGCAAGUGACGGUACCUGAUGAAUAAGCCACGGCUAACUACGUGCCAGCAGCCGCGGUAAUACGUAGGUGGCAAGCGUUAUCCGGAUUUACUGGGUGUAAAGGGCGUGUAGGCGGGAGUGCAAGUCAGAUGUGAAAACUAUGGGCUCAACCCAUAGCCUGCAUUUGAAACUGUACUUCUUGCGUGCUGG